AACUUUGGAAUAUUACUAAUUUUGUGAUGUUCUUUCAAGCUGUAUUGAAAUUUUUGUUGAGAUCAAAAUUUAGUCUAUUACGCAAAUGGUCAAUUGCUACCUACUGUUGGCCACUUAGGUCCAGCUACAUAAAUAAUAUUGGGAGAAAUACAACUAUCUGAAAAAUAUAAGCUCUGCUUAUAACCUCCACGUACUCUCUUAAUUCACAGCUGUCUUGUCUUUGUCGCUACCAACACCGACUGUGGAAACUCAAUAUGCUGGAUAUACCAGUAUUUCAAUUUGCAUACAGUAGAAAAAUGAAAACUGUGCAAGUAAGGCCAGGGUCAAACUUUUCAUGUGCCGAACCUAAUGUUAAUGAGCUUAGUUCUUUGUUUCACUUCAUUUGCAUUACACUGUAGGUUCGGCACAUGAAAAGUUUGAUGUUUGACCGUGGCUUAACCCUCACUCUUGCCAUGUCAACAUAUGGUAAUUGUAUGUUUUUCGUUGGAAAUUCAGUUCCGUUUUACUGACCGUACUUGGUGCCACAAAAUCCAAGAUUUGAAGGGUUGGGUCAACUUUUGAGUUGCCUGAGAUACAAGUUAAUUUAAUAAGAUCACCUAUCAACUUUGACACCUUUUAAGGGCUCAGAGAGGAUUAACGAGAUGUGACGCAUUCACCUGUUCAAGGUCUGAAGGUCAAAAUUGGCAGAGGAUGGCCAGAAAUUAAAUGCAUUGUUCUAUUCAAUUUUAACACAUAAAUGAACCACAUACAGAGGCUUAAGACUAUAUAAAUUAGUUUAAUAAGUGCCCUGGCUGACCAGUGGGCGUCUCUUUCAAAAUAUGCAUUAAAUACAGUAUUAAUAGUCUUGUAUUUCGUAAGCAAUGCAUAAGAUUUUAAUAAAUUCUGUUAAUUCUUCUGUUUAGGCUUUUUGUAAUACCGAAACCCACGAUGGCCAAAAAUUAGUUUCAGUGUCAUAAAAUGCGAAAUUUAAAAUCACAAGUAAUUAUCUAACUUGUGACGCAACCAUAAAAGUAUGUAAAGUGAAAACCUAUCAACUAUUUGAGAUGGAGAUUUUAAAACAAUUUGUAGCAUACUUACAAGCUUCUAUAAGUUGGGUUUUUCUUGUGCCCGCCAGUAUAGCCAACUCGGGUUUGUAAAAUCCCCGGGACACAGCCGAACUGCGACUCGGGGAACCAGAAUCAUCCCAUGGCAAAAGUUGCCGUUUCUGUCAUCUUUAAGACCUCGCUCGAAUUCAUAGCUUUUCUGACCGAUGCUGUUGAUGAAUUCUUGCCAAACGUUCGAGCAAGAAAUGAGGUAAACGACGACAUGAAAGGCAAGGCAGGACUGACAACAAAGAGGAUCGACACAGCGCUUAUAAAUCCAAGUUUCAUAACAUCAUCGUUGACAAGUGUUGACAACUUCACAAACCAAAUUCUAGAAUUCCUUGGCAAGAGUUAUGAAAUUCCUUAGUUUUCCCAAAAAUUUCCGAAACCAAAGUAUCCGUUUGACCCUAUAAAUG